rnacentral:rRNA from 1 species
CCCUUAGAUGUCCGGGGCCGCACGCGCGCUACACUGAAGGAAUCAGCGUGGCUUUCUCCCUGACCCGAAAGGGUUGGGAAACCCGUUGAAUCUCCUUCGUGAUAGGGAUUGGGGCUUGAAAUUGUUCCCCAUGAACGAGGAAUUCCCAGUAAGCGCGAGUCAUAAGCUCGCGUUGAUUACGUCCCUGCCCUUUGUACACACCGCCCGUCGCUACUACCGAUUGAAUGGUUUAGUGAGAUCCUUGGAUCGGCCCCGUCGCGGCUGGCAACGGCCGCGUCGGCGUGUCGAGAAGACGAUCAAACUUGAUCAUUUAGAGGAAGUAAAAGUCGUAACA